AUUGAACGCUGGCGGCAUGCCUUACACAUGCAAGUCGAACGGUAACAGGUCUUCGGAUGCUGACGAGUGGCGAACGGGUGAGCAAUACAUCGGAACGUGCCUAGUAGUGGGGGAUAACUACUCGAAAGAGUGGCUAAUACCGCAUGAGAUCUACGGAUGAAAGCAGGGGAUCGCAAGACCUUGUGCUACUAGAGCGGCCGAUGGCAGAUUAGGUAGUUGGUGGGAUAAAAGCUGACCAAGCCGACGAUCUGUAGCUGGUCUGAGAGGACGAUGAACCACCCUGGGACUCAGAUACGGCCCAGACUCCUACGGGAGGCAGCAGUGGGGAAUUUUGGACAAUGGGCGCAAGCCUGAUCCAGCAAGGCCGCGUGCAGGAUGAAGGACUUCGGGUUGUAAACUGCUUUUGUACGGAACGAAAAGCCCUGGGUUAAUACCCUGGGGUCAUGACGGUACCGUAAGAAUAAGCACCGGCUAACUACGUGCCAGCCACCGCGGUAAAAC
rnacentral:rRNA from 1 species